GGGGUACUCCCUCCGUCCGAAAAAGUUUGUCCUUCAAAUGGAUGUAUCUAGCAUCAAGUUAGUGCUAGAUAUAUUCAUUUGAGGGACAAGUUUGGGACAAGCUUUUUCGGACGGAGGGAGUAUUGG
rnacentral:pre_miRNA from 1 species